GGGGUAAUAGAUUAAUGGUAGAUCUUAUGCGUUGCAUGCGUACAAUGUCAGUUCGAUUCUGACUUACUCCA